rnacentral:rRNA from 1 species
GAUGAACGCUGGCGGCGUGCCUAAUACAUGCAAGUCGAGCGAACAGACGAGGAGCUUGCUCCUCUGACGUUAGCGGCGGACGGGUGAGUAACACGUGGAUAACCUACCUAUAAGACUGGGAUAACUUCGGGAAACCGGAGCUAAUACCGGAUAAUAUAUUGAACCGCAUGGUUCAAUAGUGAAAGACGGUUUUGCUGUCACUUAUAGAUGGAUCCGCGCCGCAUUAGCUAGUUGGUAAGGUAACGGCUUACCAAGGCAACGAUGCGUAGCCGACCUGAGAGGGGGAUCGGCCACACUGGAACUGAGACACGGUCCAGACUCCUACGGGAGGCAGCAGUAGGGAAUCUUCCGCAAAGGGCGAAAGCUUGACGGAGCAACGCCGCGUGAGUGAUGAAGGUCUUCGGAUCGUAAAACUCUGUUAUUAGGGAAGAACAAAUGUGUAAGUAACUAUGCACGUCUUGAUGGUACCUAAUCAGAAAGCCACGGCUAACUACGUG